CGGCACCGUAAUUUUACUCGAUCUUUUCCGGGUCAAGUACUUCCCGGCGACCCAUCUUUCCGAUCAACAACAAGACUACCCACAUAAUGAAAAACAGAUCCUCAAGUCCUGUUUAUCUUCAGCUGGGAAGAAAAAGGACAAAACAAGAAAGAAAAAGAAGAAAGUUCAAUUUGCCGCUGAUGUGAAAAGUUCGAGCGGAAAUGGCGAGG
rnacentral:misc_RNA from 1 species